rnacentral:rRNA from 1 species
AAGCCUGUGUAUACUGAUGAUCCCAUAGAUACCCUGAAUAUUAAGCUGAAAAGAAUUAAGAAGUUUUUUAAAGGGUGGGGCUCCAACAUUUUUGGGCACAACAAGAUUAGGAGAAAUAUUAUCAAGCUUGAGUUGCAAGAACUAGAAACGCUUGAGGAAAAUGUUGGGUUAUGUGGUGAGGCUUAUACCAGAAAGCUGGAAAUAUUGAUCGAGUUGAAUGAUAUGUAUAUGGAGGAAGAACUUUAUUGGCACCAAUUCUCUAAUGAGAGGUGGCUACUGAAAGGCGACGACAAUACUAGUUUUUUUCAUAAAGUAGCCAAUGGGAGACGUAGGAAACACUCGAUGGUUUCUAUUGAGUGUGGAUCGACUAUUAUAGAAGGGACUAAGAAUCUCUUAGCUCAUGCUACUGAAUACUAUAAAAAUCUCUUUGGACCAGCUCCGGGUAAUCUAUGCCAUAUAGAUGAAAACCUUUGGUCACAAGAGGAGAAAAUCUCCCCUGAGGAG